UACGAAGGGGGCUAGCGUUGUUCGGAAUUACUGGGCGUAAAGCGCACGUAGGCGGAUAUUUAAGUCAGGGGUGAAAUCCCAGAGCUCAACUCUGGAACUGCCUUUGAUACUGGGUAUCUUGAGUAUGGAAGAGGUAAGUGGAAUUGCGAGUGUAGAGGUGAAAUUCGUAGAUAUUCGCAGGAACACCAGUGGCGAAGGCGGCUUACUGGUCCAUAACUGACGCUGAGGUGCGGAAAGCGUGGGGAGCAA
rnacentral:rRNA from 1 species